GGCCUACGGGGGGCUGCAGUGGGGAAUAUUGCACAAUGGGCGCAAGCCUGAUGCAGCCAUGCCGCGUGUAUGAAGAAGGCCUUCGGGUUGUAAAGUACUUUCAGCGAGGAGGAAGGCAUUAAGGUUAAUAACCUUAGUGAUUGACGUUACUCGCAGAAGAAGCACCGGCUAACUCCGUGCCAGCAGCCGCGGUAAUACGGAGGGUGCAAGCGUUAAUCGGAAUUACUGGGCGUAAAGCGCACGCAGGCGGUCGGUUAAGUCAGAUGUGAAAUCCCCGGGCUCAACCUGGGAACUGCAUUUGAAACUGGCAGGCUUGAGUCUUGUAGAGGGGGGUAGAAUUCCAGGUGUAGCGGUGAAAUGCGUAGAGAUCUGGAGGAAUACCGGUGGCGAAGGCGGCCCCCUGGACAAAGACUGACGCUCAGGUGCGAAAGCGUGGGGAGCAAACAGGAUUAGAUACCCUAGUAGUCGC
rnacentral:rRNA from 1 species